rnacentral:rRNA from 1 species
GAUGAACGCUGGCGGCGUGCCUAAUACAUGCAAGUCGAGCGAACAGACGAUGAGCUUGCUCCCCUGACGUUAGCGGCGGACGGGUGAGUAACACGUGGAUAACCUACCUAUAAGACUUGGAUAACUUCGGGAGACCGGAUCUAAUACCGGAUCAUAUAUUGAACCGCAUGGUUCAAUAGAGAUAGACGGUUUUGCUGUCACUAUUAGACGGAUCCGCGCCGCAUUAGCUAGUUGGUAAGGUAACGGCUUACCAAGGCCACGAUGCGUAACCGACCUGAUGAGGUGAACCAGCACCACUGAACUGAGGAAAGGGCCCGACUCCUACGGGAGGCAGCAGUAGGGAAAUUUCCGCAAUGGGCGGAAGCCUGGAGCCACCCAGACGGGGGAGGUAUAAAGGUCUUCCGAUCGUAAAACUCUGUUAUUUGGGAAGAACAAGUGUGUAAGUAACUAUGCGCGUCUCGGCGGUAACUAAACGGAAAACCACGGCUGACUACGUG